rnacentral:rRNA from 1 species
AUGACCAUAAACAAAGCCCAGGGGCAAACCAUCCCAACUGUUGGCAUUUACCUUCCGGAGCCUGUAUUCUCGCAUGGCCAGCUUUACGUUGCACUGUCAAGGGGUGUUUCAAGGCAGACAACUCGGGUUCUGGCAAAGCCAAAUGAAAAAAUAGAUCAAACGGGUAAAAGCACCAAGAACAUUAUGAACAGAGAUGUCUUGGAGGGAUAA